AUAUCACUGGAGUGUUAGUCCAGGAGCUCCAAGACUGAGCCAUGAUCAUGGACUCAACGGCCAUCUUAAUCUAGUCCACUUCUUCACACGGCGAAACCAACGUGACCUAGAGGUUAGGGUGGUUUGAAAGUUGGGAAGGUGAGGGUAUUUUGGGUUUUUUUUCUUAUGAAAAGGUGUCGGUGUGAAUUGAGAAAAUAUGAAACGAUUAAACAAAGUUUGUGUGGUGUGAAAAUAGAAACUUCCCAGCAACACUCACCUGCAAUUCAACGGCACCAACUACUACUAGUGCAAAACAAAUAUGCAGAUAAUAGUUUGAGUCUUGAGUUAUUUCUCAGCUAAACCCAACCCACCUUAGGUUCCGUUAAUCUUUCUUCUUCUUCAACUUGUUGUUGAUCAUCAAGAAAUUAGAACAUGGUAGAAACAAUUCUUUUCAACUUAGCAAGUAAAAUUCUGGGCAUGAUAGGCUCCGGUCCAAUCGGGGAAGUUGGCAAGGCAUGGGGUGUUGAGCAGGAGCUGAACGCACUAAAAGACACCUUGUCCACUAUCAAUGCUGUGCUCUUAGAUGCUGAGAGAUUGUACGGUCAUGGCGGUUUUCCUAAUUACUCAAUUGCGAUGGGGGUAUGGUUUGACAGACUCCAAGCUGCUAUCUAUGAUGCAGAUAACCUCGUCGAUGAAUUUCACUACGAAGUUUUACGAAGUCGAGUGACGAGGACGUUUCUGGUAAGCAAUUUCUUUUCAUCCUCAUGCACAAUUGAUUUCCGAUUUAAAUUUAAAAUGAGUAGUAGAAUCGCAAAUAUCAGAAAGAGAUUAGACAUGAUCGCGGAUAAUAGGACUAAGUUUCAUCCCAUUGCCACAACAUCACAACAUAACGCGGCCAGCUCAUCAAUCUCCUCUGAAGUCAAUGAGUCGGAAUUUGUUGGAAGGUUCGAUGAUAGAGUAAAAUUGUUACACCUUAUAAUGGCCCCACGUGUUAACAAUGAUGAGAACAUGUUUGUCCUGCCCAUUGUUGGCAUUGCAGGUAUUGGUAAGACAGCUCUCGUUAGAUUGCUGUACAAUCAUGAAAUGGUCGCCAAGCAUUUUCAGUUGAGGAUUUGGGUGAAGGUAGAACAAUAUCUUAAUGUUAAAGAUGUGAUGCAAAAAAUUUUUCAGCGCAUAACAGAUUCCCCCCAUUGUGCUGGCCUCCAUUCAUAUCAGUUAAAGAAUCUCCUUCAAGAAAAAUUACAUAAUACGAAAUUUUUACUCGUCUUGGACAAUUUAUGUGAUUGUGAUAAUCGAGAAUGGCAUAAGUUGUAUGACUUAUUGAGAUGUGGUUGUAUCAUGGGAAGUAAGAUCAUAGUGACUACACGUUACAUACGGGUUGCUACAAUUGUGGGCACGGUUCCCACACAUAAUUUAGACAGUCUUUCAGAUAAGGAUUGCCUUGAAGUGCUUUGGAAGUGGGCAGGUUGUCGUGAAAAAUUGGGGGAAAAACAUGUGAAUGCGAAGCUCUCAAAAAUCGCAAAGGAAAUUGUGAAAAAGUGCCACGGAUAUCCUCGUGCAGCAAAGACUUUAGGCAACAAUUUGUUUAUGGAGACUGAUGAAAGUAAAUGGUUAGAAUUAAAAGAGAAACAACUAUGGGAAUUGCCACAAAAGAAACGUGACAUUUUGGCCGUGUUAAGAUCGAGCUACGACACACAAUCAACUGAGUUGAAACGCUGCUUCAUAUAUUGUUCAAUUUUUCCAAAAAGCUAUGAAAUUGAAAUUGAUAAAUUGAUCCAGUUGUGGAUGGCACAGGGGCUCAUUCAAUCAUCUGGCCUAACUGGCGAGUUGGAAGAUACUGGCACUGAUUAUUUGAAUCAGUUAUGUUCCAUAUUUUUCUUAGAAAAGACUGAAGAACAACAUGGCAAUCUAUCAAACACGUGUAGAAUGCCUGAGAUCAUUCAUGAUCUUGCAGUAUAUAUGGCAAAUGAAGAAUGCUUAAUUACAACAAAUUAUCGUUUUGGGCCGAUUUCUGAUAAGGUUAAGCAUGUAUCAUUUCAUGAUUUUGAUUGUUCAGGGGAAGAAGUCACAAAGGCAUUGUUCGAACGAAAGAAUCUGAGGACUGUUUUCUUUCCAUUUCAAGGACUCGGAGCUAGUGACACAGGCUUUGUUAACAGAUGCAUCUCAAAGUUCAAGUAUCUGUAUGUGCUUGAUUUGAGUUGCUCAUGUUUUCAGGUAUUGCCACAUUCCAUUGGUAAUUUGAAGCAUUUGAGAUUUUUUGACAUCAGUGGGAAUGCAAAUAUCGAGACACUGCCUAAUGCCAUUUGCAAACUGUUCAAUUUGCAAACUUUGAGAAUCUGGUAUUGUGUGAAAAUUCGAAAGUUACCCAAAAACAUAGGGAACUUAAUCUGUCUUAGGCAUUUGUACUUAACCACACAACAAAGUUGUUUGCCAGAGAGACAAAUCCAACGCUUGACCUCUCUCCAAUCCUUUCGGAUUACAGGAUGUGGAAACCUUAAAUCUUUGCCUAAAGGAAUGCGACUCCUCGUCAAACUCAAAACAGUGACUAUUGCAGCUUGUCCCAAAUUGACCUCUCUGCCAAGUACCAUGAAGAACCUACCCAAGUUGAGGAAUCUUGAGAUUAGUAAUUGUCCAAAUCUUGACUUGGCAGGGUGGGAGGACGUUAUGGGCCUUAGGAGGCUUCAAUAAAUUCAAGGGUACAAGAUUUUAUGAGUUUGUGGCUCUCCCAAGUGAGUCAAUUUCGUUGCACUCGAAAGUAUUGCUUGUAUUUUUAUUCUUUCUAGCAUUAACUGCUGCUUCUGAUGGGCUUCUUAACAUUGUCUUAGUGCAUGUAAUGGAAAUUUCAUAUCAGUAAGAGAACCACGAAGCGUGAAGUGACAGGUGUUCGAUGGAAAACCAACAGAUGAAUGGCUUGUCUCUAAAAGGGAGGAGGAAGGAGCUGUUAUCUGCGUCAGAAGCCCUUGAACCUAGCUGCAUUUAGGAUUCUGCUAUUAAUGUUGUUUUGUUGGAGUGCAGCCACUUCCGAAUCCAGAUUCAAUGAUUGUGGAGUGCACGAAGCCAAGUCCAUUAUUGUUUAAUGAAAAAAAAGAUGGGAUGGGAACUUAUUAGAGUGUGGCCAAGCCCUCUCGAAUGACUUCUACUAUAGAAGCUUUCAACGUACACCUGGGGACAAAUCUUUCACUCACUGAGAAGUGAAACCCUGUGACUAGAUCGUUCUGAAGACAGAUGUGACGGGAAGAAGUGGCAUUUGGAAGCCGAAAAACCACAAUGAACAGGUCUUCUAUGUGCACAGAAUCUUAUCACAGAAUCAGAUACUACUCUCUUAUAUGGAGUAGGAUCCACACAUAAGGGUCAAAAUCACACAUUGUUCCUCUAUUCUUUAGAUAGUCUCCCAAUCUUGAAAUCCACAUAAUUUCCAACCUCAAAAGGCUACAUAAAAAUCCAGCAAGCACUGUAUAUCAGAUUCCGGAGCUCCAUUACAUUGUUACAUACCUCGCAAAAAAGUAACGGAGAUAAAACCUUUGACAAGAUAAAAAAGCUUCUAAACCCAACUUGGAGAUUGUUUAAUAUUUUAUUUUUAAUUGAUAUAAUUUCAGAUAUAUGAAAUUCAUUAGUUUAAGAGAUUCUGAGGGCAUAAUGAAAUAUUGCGAUAGGGCAAAUUUUACUUUACACCAAAUCUUACUUUAGCCAAAACUACAACUAAAUUCGACAUGGAUAUUGUUUGGCACGGAUGCCUUGAACUAAACUAGGCUAAAUUUUGACACGGAUGUCUUGCUAAAUAUUUGAUUUGAGUUGGAUUAGAUGUCCUUUCUUCCAUUUUCGAAUGGCUUUAUAUUGCAAUGGGAAUCUCCUAAUUGUUAGGAACAGCCGGCUGAUUCUCCUCAACCACUUUGAUUAGUGGAAUGCUAGGUUAGCUCUUAAACUGCCAAGUGUCCCGUGAUAGCCACCUUGCCGAAGCAUCUCUAGUGUAUCCCCCAAGAAAUGGAAGUCAUUAUUCUACAUUAACCCUUGGCCGUUUGAUCAAAAGGUAGUAAGACUUCAAAUCUGAGGGAUGAAUGCUAUGUGUCGAAUCUGGGAGUAGCUCUCCUCAAGACUCCAUUUUGUAGGAACAAUCAGCCAGUGACCUUCAUAGACUAACCUCUCUUCUUGAAAAGCAAUCACAAGACAAGGUUCAACGGUGUGGCUCACCAGGCUGACCAACUGGCGGCAAUGUUAAGAAUUGAGACAAGCUCGUCGCCACGUAUCCUCAGUGGAAGAAAAGGAUAAAAAAGGAAUCUCCUUGGAUCAUUACCUCGUUUUGGGAAUUAAACCAUCUGAUGCAGGAUCCAAGAU